UACGUAGGGUCCGAGCGUUGUCCGGAAUUACUGGGCGUAAAGAGCUCGUAGGUGGUUUGUCGCGUUGUUCGUGAAAACUCACAGCUCAACUGUGGGCGUGCGGGCGAUACGGGCAGACUUGAGUACUGCAGGGGAGACUGGAAUUCCUGGUGUAGCGGUGGAAUGCGCAGAUAUCAGGAGGAACACCAGCGGCGAAGGCGGCGCUCUGGGACGGUACUGACACUGAGGAGCGAAAGCGUGGGUAGCAAACAGG
rnacentral:rRNA from 1 species